GAGGGCAUAACUGUCUCCUGUAGCCAAUCAAUGAAAUUGAUCUCACAGUACAAACGCUGUGAUAUAACUAUAAGACGAGAAGACCCUGUGGAGCUUUAAAUCUACCACAUUAACUAUAAUUAAAUUUACUAUAACAUAAUGUAAAUUUUAAGUUGGGGCGACUGUGGAGUAAAACAAAACCUCCAUGCAACACGACUAAACCUCGUUAUUUAAGGCUUACAAGCCCAAUCAAAACACACGACCCAGUCAAACUGAUCAACGAACCAAGUUACCCCAGGGAUAACAGCGCCAUCCCCUUAAAGAGUUCA
rnacentral:rRNA from 1 species